rnacentral:rRNA from 1 species
UAGGGAAUCUUCCGCAAUGGACGCAAGUCUGACGGAGCAACGCCGCGUGAGUGAAGAAGGAUUUCGGUUCGUAAAACUCUGUUGUUAGAGAAGAACAGCGCAUAGAGUAACUGUUAUGCGUGUGACGGUAUCUAACCAGAAAGCCACGGCUAACUACGUGCCAGCAGCCGCGGUAAUACGUAGGUGGCAAGCGUUGUCCGGAUUUAUUGGGCGUAAAGCGAGCGCAGGCGGUCACUUAAGUCUGAUGUGAAAGCCCCCGGCUCAACCGGGGAGGGUCAUUGGAAACUGGUUGACUUGAGUGCAGAAGAGGAGAGUGGAAUUCCAUGUGUAGCGGUGAAAUGCGUAGAUAUAUGGAGGAACACCAGUGGCGAAGGCGACUCUCUGGUCUGUAACUGACGCUGAGGCUCGAAAGCGUGGGUAGCAAACAGG